CGCUGAUCCGCAUCUGAACUGCCGCUGCUGGUGCUGGGGCUCUCAUCAUCCGACCUCUGCCUAUCACUGGACAUCUUGGAGAAGUUAUCCCUGGGAAAACUUCUGAGGAGAGAAGGGACCCGGAGAGAAAGAUGCAUGCAGAAGUACGUGCCAGAUUACUGCCCAGGCCUGAGCAACAGCAGAUGUACUGAGAAGGCAGACCUAACGCCUGCAUUUACCUUUCUUCCUGUUCUUCUAUUUAAACAUUGCAAGCCUUUAUCAUUGGAGAAAAAGAACUGCUUUAAAGAAGAAAGAAAACUUUACCUGUAUUUUACCUGGGGACUUUAUUUUUUUCUAAUAAAGCUCAACAGGGAAACCAUUGUCUUGUAUUAAUGAAAUUCUUAUAUAGACACAGAGAGGACAAAGCUGGGAAGAGCUAGCUUUAAUUAUAACAAACUGCUCUGUUCAAUAAUAAGUUAUUAAAGUUUAUUUGUAUCAUAUUAUAAUGUAUUUGUGUUAAAGAGCAGAACUUGCUAUGAAAAGAUAAAAUCAUGGUGCUCAUAAAAUGUAAAAUGAAUACAUGCAAGGACUUUCAACCCAUUAAUGAGAGAGCCAGUAGAUGCUAAAAUCCUUUCAUAAGACAACUUACAGCCAAUAAGAGAAGCUGAAAUGAAGAGAUGUGUGAUGGACGUCUUGUCAAAGGGACAGGGGUACGGAGCAUGCCAUUAUUUAUAGGGAAAGCACCAAUUGCGUCCCACCAAGCACAAUGUAUCAUUUUGUGGCUAGGAAGUAUUUACAUUACUGUUGGUUUUCUACACCAAACAUGGUUAUUAGAUUUUUCACAUAGCCAGGGAAUUCCAAAGUUUUUUGUAACUUUUCCAUAUCUGUAACCUGACAAGGUAUAACCAAAAGUUUGUGAACUUUUCUGAUCUCCAGGCUAGGAACUGGCUUUAUGGAAACUGGCUUUAUGGAAACUGGCUUAAUGACCUUUGCCACAGGAAGCAGUUAAAAAUUGGGGUGGUCAGAACCCGGAUGAAGGAAAGCUAACAAGGCAAAAUAUCCUUUCCCACCUAACUCAGAAGGAUGUUAAGAGUUUGGACCCUAGAGCUUUAACACAUUUCUGUCACUGACCAUGUGUGUGCCUAGGGGAUAAGCUAUAUUUAGUCUUUCCAAACUCCAAUUUAUUUAUCUCUGUAUAAUGAGGUCAUUAGUAGUACCAAAUUGAUGUGCUUGUUGAAGGGGAUGAAAUGUGAUGACCUAAGUAGAAUGCUUUGCAUAAUCACUGGCUUUGCAAAGUGACAAUUAAAUGUUAAUUGUCAUCAUUAACAUUUUAUCAAUAUUACAGUUGUCUCUUAAGGGGAACUGAUAUGUUAAAGCAAAAUCUGCUCCUGAGUGUGUAAUAACAUCAAAUUAUUUCUUUAAAUAGCAUAACUGAGGUAUAACUGGCAUCUGAUAAACUCGGUGUAUUUAAAGCGCACAGCUUGAGAAGGGCAUUAGACAUGUGUUUUGGGAAACCAUGUCUACAGUGCACAGCCACAUUGCCCUAAAAGCUUCCUGUGACACCCCGACCUCUCCCUAUUUCCGUUUGUCUCUACUUUGUUCCUAUCGCUUACGGUUUUUAGAAAAUGUAUAAAUGGAGGACAUAGUGGACAUCCUUUUUGCCCAAUUUAUUUCAUUCUUCAUAAUCAUUCUGAGCUAUAUUCAUGCCGGAAACUCUACUUUCCUCUUUUCUACUGCAAAGUGGCAUUCCAUUCUAGCUAUGCAGUCUCCUCCUCAUCCCUUUAC